rfam:Glossina morsitans morsitans, isolate Yale, WGS project CCAG01000000 data, contig: ctg10002281
GGGGGUAGUUUUUAGUACGUAAGCGCCAUGGAUGACGAAUCGUGCAUGCUGCUACUAAGAACCAGCAGUAUCUUUUGAAGAUUUUCUACCUCC